GGUGUCCAUCCUGGAGGCAGUUUGUGGCAUCAUGGUGGGUGUGAGAUCCCCCUGGGUGGUAGCAUUCCCUGUGUUCUGUCUUUAUCAUUUACUCCACAGGCAGCUCUGAAUCCACAGCUGCUGACAGCACAGCAAGGCAGCCUAACCAAUAGGCUGGGCCUCUCUCUGCAGGAAGGAGAGUUUGGAGUGAUUUGCAGUAGAGCCUAUUUCAGCACAAUCUGUUUACUUUUCUUAUACAUUGUCAUAGGUUAAGUUGACAUGGCAAGGAGCUGUGCGGUGUAGGGCAAAAUGCUUAUUACAGUUAAAUAAAAAAACUGUGUUCUUCUGUACAAUUAAUCUGAUGUUAGCUCAUGUUUAAUGAGCUCAUAUGUGCUGUAUUAGUGGCUUAAGCUGCCAGAAACAAGUACCACAGCUGGAUGGAUUGAGCAAAAGAAAUCUAUUUUUUUUCUCACAACUUUAGAGUCCAGGAUCAAGGCAACAGCAGGUUUGGUUCUUUCUGAUGUUGUAAAAGACACACUUGUCAUAAUUCUCACUCAGUGUCUGGUGAUGUGCUGGCAAUCUUUGAUAUUCCUUGGCAUGUAGAAAAAUCACUUGGAUCUGCCUUGGUCUUACCAUCAUCCUCUUCCUGUGUGCACAACUGUUUCCAAGUCCCCCCUUUUAUGAGAGUGCAUGCGAGUGAAUGGAGUUAAGAGUGCUUAGUGACCCUCUUGUUAAUACCUUCAGUGACUUUUUAAAAAUUUAUUUUUAAUUAAUUUUUUCAUUCAGUAAUUCUUUUUUUCUUUUUUUCUUAGAUGUUUUCUUCAGUUAUAUUUCAAAUGCUAUCCCCUUUCCUAGUUUCCUCUCCAAAAAUCCCCUAUACCCUCCCCAUCCCCCUGUUCCCCAACCCACCCAUUCCUCUUUCCUGGUCCUGGCAUUCACCUAUACUGGGGCAUAGAAUCUUUGCAAGGCCAAGGGCCUCUCCUCCCAUUGAUGGCUCUGGGGAUACUAGUUAGUUCAUAUUGUUGUUCCUCCUAUAGGGCUGAAAGACUCCUUCAGCUCCUUGGGUAAUUUCUCUAGCUCCUUCAUAGGGGACCCUGUGUUCCAUCCAAUAGAUGACUGUGAGCAUCCACUUCUGUAUUUGCCAGGCACUGGCAUAGCCUCACAGGAGACAGCUAUAUCAGGGUCCUGUCAGCAAAAUGUUGUUGGUAUAUGCAAUAGUGUCUGGGUUUGGUGGUUGUUUAUGGGGUGGAUCCCUGGGUGGGGCAGUCUCUGGAUGGUCCUUCCUUCAGUCUCAGCUCCGAACUUUCUCUCUAUAACUCCUUCCUUGGGUAUUUUGUUCCCCAUUCUAAGAAGGAACGAAGUAUCCACACUUUGGGCUUCCUUCUUCUUGAGUUUCAUGUGUUUCGCAAAUUGUAUCUUGGGUAUUCUAAGUUUCUGGGCUAAUAUCCUCUUAUCAGUGAGUGUAUAUCCUGUGUGUUCUGUUGUGAUUGGGUUACCUCACUCAGGAUGAUAUUGUCCAGAUCCAUCCAUUUGCCUAAGAAUUUCAUAAGAUCAUUGUUUUUAAUAGCUGAGUAGUACUCGAUUGUGUAAAUUCUGUAUUCAUUCUUCUGUUGAGGGACAUCUGGGUUCUUUUCAGCUUCUGGCUAUUAUAAAUAAGACUGCUAUGAACAUAGUGGAGCAUGUGUACAUAUUACAAGUUGGAGCAUCUUCUGGGUAUAUGCCCAGGAGUGGUAUUGCUGGAUCUUCCGGUAGUACUAUGUCCAAAUUUUUGAGGAACCACCAAACUGAUUUCCAGGGUGUUGUACCAGCUUGCAAUCCCACCAGCAAUAGAGGAGUAUUCCUCUUUCUCUACAUUCUCACCAGCAUCUGCUGUCACCUGAAUUUUUGAUCUUAGCCAUCCUGACUAGUGUGAGGUGGAAUCUCAGGGUUGUUUUGAUUUGCAUUUCCCUGAUGAUUAAGGAUAUUGAACAUUUUUUCAGGUGCUUCUCAGCCAUUUGGUAUUCCUCAGUUGAGAAUUCUUUGUUUAGCUGUACCCCAUUUUUAAAAAGGGUUAUUUGGCUUUCUCGAGUCCUGCUUCUUGAGUUCUUUAUUUAUAUUGGAUAUUAGUCCCCUACCAGAUUUAGGAUUGGUAAAGAUCUUUUCCCAAUCUGUGGGUUGCCUUUUGGUCUUACUGACAGUGUUCUUUGCCUUACAGAAGCUUUGCAAUUUUAUGAGGUUCCAUUUGUCGAUUCUUGAUCUUACAGCACAAGCCAUUGCUGUUCUGUUCAGGAAUUUCCCCUCUGUGCCCAUAUCUUUGAGGCUUUUCUCCACUUUCUCCUCUAUAAGUUUCAGUGUCUCUGUGUCUUAAGAUUUCUUUCCUUCUUUCUUUCUUUCUUUCUUUCUUUCUUUCUUUCUUUCUUUCUUUCUUUCUUUCUUAAUGAUUUAUUUAUUUAUUUAUUUAUUUAUUUAUUUAUUUAUUUAUUUAUUUAUUUAUAUGUUCUUGCGCGCGCCGGACUGGCCAGCAGUAACGACACUGCAACAGGAUCCUUCUGCACACGUUUAUUGGGAGAGCUUGAUUGUAGAGGCAAAGAGACUUCGAGUCCAGAACUGGUGCUGCUUUUAUAGGCCUAGGAGAGGCGUGUCUCAUACCCGGAUUGGUUAUGCACUAAGCCUCAUUUGCAUGUUCCUCAUCUGAUUGGCUACUCUCUCUCAGUACCUCACAGAGCCUCAUUAUCAUACCUCAUUUGCAUGUCUCACAUCCGAUUGGUUACUCUCUUAGUACCUUACAGAACCUCAUUAUCAUGCAUCAUUUGCAUGUCUCACAUCUGAUUGGUUAUACUCUCAGUACCUUACAGAACCUCAUUAUCAUGCCUGGGCCAGGCAGUGUCUUUGCAAAAAACUUUACUGCAUAUGUACACAUUGGUUGUUUGUCCAAUCUUAUGCAUGGUGGCCAGCAGUAGUCAGUGCCACUCAGCAACGGCACAUGUGGCUUCCCACAAUAUGUGAUGAAACCUAAUGAAACCUCCGAACACCACAGCCUAAUGGAACUCCCUGGGUGGGUAGCACGGUGUGCUAGGAGAAGUUUAUUAUUUACCUUUGUAAAGCUGAGAGCACAAUACUCAAAGGAACAACUUAAAAGAAGAGAGAUGGACUUCAGCUCACUGUUUCAGGAUGGGCUCCAUGAGGUGGGCAACAACAUCAUGGAGAGAUCAGACAUACUGAGGAGAGAGAUGGCUUAUGUCACUCAGAGCUUGCCCUAUCUCCAUCUAGCUGCUUUUCAAUCUACCUCUGUCACACCCGCCCCAGAAGUCCAAUGAGAAGAUGAAGAAUCUUAGAGAGAUUUCCAAACUAUAGAGGCUGCCAAAGUAGGAGAGAGGCUGGGGAAGGGGACAGGGGCCAUCUUGGUUUUUGUUAGUUUUCAAGUCACAUGCACAGGGUCAUGGAAACAAGCCCCUUUGUGUGUCCACUAUGAGAUAUCGUUCUUUUGCCCCUUUAACUCUCUGUAAAGGUCCACUGCAGCUUUAGCUUUUAUGAUCCAGUAGUCUGAGAGACUCUAAGUUUGCAAGCGCUUACCCCAUCUGCCGACUGAGGGUUGGGCUUUGUGAGCUGCCUAAGAACCUGUUCUGCUUCUGCCCAGGGCUAGGAUCUUGCUCCACUUCUGACUCUCUAGACAGUGUUGCUCUGCCUAUGUCUUCCCGAGCCUCACCGCAGGAGAAUCAGCUAAGAGACAUCUCUUCUGGUAGUACCCCCAUAUGACUCUGCUUUGGUCCUGUGUUGCAGUCUGCCCAAAAGAAGAUCCCUGUUGCACCUUCUGUGUUGAAUGAGUUUCUUGAAUGACAAUGAAAUUUACAAUAAAACUAUGGACAUUA